AAAAAACAAAAGAAAGAAAAGAAAAUUAGAAUCCCAAACCUUUCUCCCUGAAAUGAUAUCCAGAAGAUGAAUAUCGUACAUACUGAACUCUACUUAGUUGAUCAUAGGCAACUAUAAUUUAAAGUAUAAAUGUGAGAGACCAAAACAAAACUCUUAAAAAUUUCCUUCCUUUUCUAUCCUCAAAUUAUUGAAUUUAUAUUUUCAUUCAGGUUAGCAAUUUAUCUACAUUUGACUCCUUCAAUGUUGUAGAACUGCAACAAAAUUAUUUCAAUUCUAAGUGUUGCUUAGAGGCAAAUAAAGAAUAAAUACACACAAUCAGCCUAUAAAGGUCCAUGUAAUAAAUUUAUAGAGUUAAUUAUUUUAUUGCCGAAGAAUUCUAAACUUUUAUUGGAAAAGGAUGUUAAAGGUUAAUAGUGCAAUUAAUUUUAUUUGAGAAAAAGAGCCUCUUGCUUUGCUUUUAUACGUUGUUUCGGACCUGCCUGCACAUGCAAAACGUCGCCGUUUUGCCACUAACCUAUCCCUAGCUUCUGCUAUCCCCUCUACCACCAUUACGAGUAGCACCACCAUCUCUCACUGCUGCCUUCAUCCUUCCCAAAUUAUCACGACAAAGAAAAUUAUUCAUUACCACAUUCAAUGCAUCAUUAACGCUGCAAUUCCCCCACCAAUCCGCCUGCAAGGCACCCAUGGUAAAACACUGGUCUCCAUUCAAUCAGCCUUGAAUCUACCAUCACCAUUUCCCAGAACACAGCCCUACCAUUGUUUUGCACUACUGUACCACCCUCCAAUUUAGCUAUUACUAUCUCUAUCUGCAUAACCCAUCAAACAGUGGCUCCACCAACUCUGAUCGCAAUUAGCUGACACAGUACCCUGCCUAAAUCACCACUGGCAUGAUAAUCUGACCAAUUAUAUGUAUCAUCUUUCCUUCUCUUUAUUCUUCUAUUUGUGUAUGCAUAAAACUGUUCUUGUCAACAAUUAUGGCGUUGACUGAUGAGCAUUAUUUGGUUUAAAUUGAUUACCGAGCUGAACUAAUGACUUUUGGUUUAUUUGGUUCGGUUUUCAAAAUUAAAUAGUUCAGUUAGUUUAGGUUCCUUUGGGUUUUCACCUUUAAAACUGAAAUAACUAAUUAUAUUUUAUAAAUAUUUAUUUAAUAUAUUUCAGUAUAUGGAGAUACAUUUUUAUCAAAAUUGAAGCCCAAAUGCCCAAUCCAUAAUACCCUCUUAUUUUUAGGCUGAAAUGUAAAAGCUAAAAAUCCCAAAAUAGAAUAAAUCAACCGAACUGAAAUAUAUAUAAAUUUUUUCAUUUUGGUUCAAUUAUUAUUAAUGCAGAUAGUAAGAUAGAAGUCUGGUGACACGAUAAUAGAUAAAAUUUGAAUGACCACAUCCACCAGAAUGUAGAAAACAUUGGAUAAAAUGAGAAAGAGGGUCGAUUUAAAUAGGUUGGUCAUGUACAACAUAGAGUAAUGCCCUAGUACAAAAUUGUGAUAAGUUAGUGAUGGUAGCAGUGAGAAGAGAAAGAUGGAGAGCUAAAAGGACAUGGAGGAAUUUAGUAUUAAAAGAUUUAUAAUUUUUGGAUAUUAAUGCAGAAUUGGUUUCAAAUAGAGCUAAAUAACGAAAAAAAGAUCCAUAUAACCAAUCCUAACUAGUUUGGGAUUUAGGGUUAGUUUGGGUUUAAUUAUUAUUUGUAAAUGUAUGAAUAGAUUUUCUGACCCAUGCCUGUACACUUUUCCACCCUUUUUCUUAUGCAAAGGAACUUUCGAGAAAUUUUUUAACAUUUUACUUGUUAGUCCCCUUGGGAACUUUAUGUUUGAUUCAUUCAUUAUGAGUCCGCUCUUUCUCCUGCAUUUGCUUUUAUCUGCAUCUUUAUCUCACAGUUGAUUUUUUUUUUUUUUU
rnacentral:misc_RNA from 1 species